rnacentral:rRNA from 1 species
UCCACGCCCUAAACGAUGUCAACUAGGUGUUGGGUGGGUAAAACCAUUUAGUACCGUAGCUAACGCGUGAAGUUGACCGCCUGGGGAGUACGGCCGCAAGGUUAAAACUCAAAGGAAUUGACGGGGACCCGCACAAGCGGUGGAUGAUGUGGAUUAAUUCGAUGCAACGCGAAAAACCUUACCUACCCUUGACAUGUUCAGAAUCCCGGAGAGAUUUGGG